GAUGAACGCUGGCGGCGUGCCUAAUACAUGCAAGUCGAGCGAACAGACGAGGAGCUUGCUCCUCUGACGUUAGCGGCGGACGGGUGAGUAACACGUGGCUAACCUACCUAUAAGACUGGGAUAACUUCGGGAAACCGGAGCUAAUACCGGAUAAUAUAUUGAACCGCAUGGUUCAAUAGUGAAAGACGGUUUUGCUGUCACUUAUAGAUGGAUCCGCGCCGCAUUAGCUAGUUGGUAAGGUAACGGCUUACCAAGGCAACGAUGCGUAGCCGACCUGAGAGGGAGAUCGGCCACACUGGAACUGAGACACGGUCCAGACUCCUACGGGAGGCAGCAGUAGGGAAUCUUCCGCAAUGGGCGAAAGCCUGACGGAGCAACGCCGCGUGAGUGAUGAAGGUCUUCGGAUCGUAAAACUCUGUUAUUAGGGAAGAACAAAUGUGUAAGUAACUAUGCACGUCUUGACGGUACCUAAUCAGAAAGCCACGGCUAACUACGUG
rnacentral:rRNA from 1 species